rnacentral:rRNA from 1 species
UACGGUCUCAGUUCAGAUUGCAGGCUGCAACUCGCCUGCAUGAAGUUGGAAUUGCUAGUAAUCGCGAAUCAGAAUGUCGCGGUGAAUACGUUCCCGGGCCUUGUACACACCGCCCGUCACACCAUGAGAGUCGAUAACACCCGAAGCCUGUGAGCUAACCUUUUAGGAGGCAGCAGUCGAAGGUGGGGUUGAUGAUUGGGGUGAAGUCGUAACAAGGUACC